UAUUGGCUCCACGAAGUAAACAAGCAGCUUCAUCAUAUGCCCUUGCUGCUUCUUCAGCUGUGUCAAAGGUACCUAACCACACUCUUAUUUUUUGUAUAGUAUCUUUAAUUUCAGCUACCCAUCUACCUGAUGGCCUCUGUCUAACACCCACGAAUCUCUUCCGUGCUCGCCGUGCUCCACCAAGCGCAGCUGCAACAGCAGUUUCCUUUACCAUUUCGUCCCAGGCCACAUUCCCUUGAUCAUUAUCGCGGAUAUUUUCACCAAGUGCCUCACUCGCCCUUCUUUUCCUAGCCAUCGCACGAGCGUUAGUGUUAGUAUAUAUAUAAGUA
rnacentral:lncRNA from 1 species